rnacentral:rRNA from 1 species
CCUACGGGUGGCAGCAGUGAGGAAUAUUGGUCAAUGGGCGAGAGCCUGAACCAGCCAAGUAGCGUGCGGGAUGAAUGCCCUACGGGUCGUAAACCGCUUUUGCACGGGGAUAACACCCUCCACUUGUGGAGGUCUGCAGGUACCGUACGAAUAAGGGCCGGCUAAUUCCGUGCCAGCAGCCGCGGUAAUACGGAGGGCCCGAGCGUUAUCCGGAUUCAUUGGGCUUAAAGGGAGCUUAGGCGGACGUUCAAGUCAGCUGUAAAAUCGCGCGGCUCAACCGUGCCCCGCAGUUGAAACUGGACGUCUUGAGUGCACAAGAGGCAGGCGGAAUUCGUGGUGUAGCGGUGAAAUGCAUAGAUAUCACGAGGAACCCCGAUUGCGAAGGCAGCUUGCCGGGGUGCGACUGACGCUGAGGCUCGAAGGUGUGGGUAUCAAACAGGAUUAGAUACCCCAGUAGUC